rnacentral:tRNA from 1 species
GCCCCUGUAGCUCAGAUGGAUAGAGCGAGGGCGUCCUAAGCCUUGCGUCGGGGGUUCGACUCCUCCCAGGGGCGCCA